rnacentral:rRNA from 1 species
AUUGAACGCUGGCGGAAUGCUUUACACAUGCAAGUCGAACGGUAGAGGGGGCAACCCCUCGAGAGUGGCGAACGGGUGAGUAAUGUAUCGGAACGUGCCCAGUCGUGGGGGAUAACGUAGUGAAAAUUACGCUAACACCGCAUACGAUCUAUGGAUGAAAGCGGGGGAUCGCAAGACCUCGCGCGAUUGGAGCGGCCGAUAUCAGAUUAAGUAGUUGGUGGGGUAAAGGCCCACCAAGCCAACGAUCUGUAGCUGGUCUGAGAGGACGACCAGCCACACUGGAACUGAGACACGGUCCAGACUCCUACGGGAGGCAGCAGUGGGGAAUUUUGGACAAUGGGCGAAAGCCUGAUCCAGCCGUUCCGCGUGCAGGAUGAAGGCCCUCGGGUUGUAAACUGCCUUUGUACAGAACGAAAAGGUUUCUACUAAUACUAGGAGCUCAUGACGGUACUGUAAGAAUAAGCACCGGCUAACUACGUGCCAGCAGCCGCCGUAA